CGUGAAUUUGUUGAUAUUUUGCUCUCAUGAUAUUGAACACAUAAACAUGAAAUAUUCAUCAAAGCUCCAUUUUAUUCAUUUCCAAUAUUUUCAAUAUUCAUCGCAUGGUGUUUUUACUUUCAUAAAUUUAGAUGAUUACAGGAAGUAAGAAACCAAAGAAACAAGGGAAGCCCCAACCAAGGAUCCAAGAACAGGCAAGGUGGCGGCAGCGACGCUGGAAUCCGGUCCCGGUGCUGCAGCAGAGGAAAGAGAGGAGCUAGGUCCAGAACCACCUGCGGAAGGGGCAGGAGCUGGGACAUCGGCGGCCAUGACGACGCUCAUUGAAGCGGCAGCUACAAUGAUGGCGGUGGAGAACUUCUUCAUGUCCAUGGCGUAUAAAGGGAUUAUUAAACGCACCGGAAAUGAAAGAGACCUGCGUUUAAUUACUGGUGAAUGGGAAGCCGCCGGUGAUUAUUAUUUGCUUUGUUAUUGCAGGUCUGAAGAACAAUGAUGGUGGGGGAGGUGAUUUAUAGGUGAAAAUUAAUGGCUAUUUUUAGUGAUGACAUUCAAAAGGAUAAUUACGUGUUUGGUUUUUGCAUGGUUUGCGGGAUAGACAUGCAUUUUUAAAAACGAUUUUGACUGGGUUUUACGUAAGGGAUUUUAAAUUUUAAGAUUAUAUGAUAAUGAUUUUUUUUAUUUAAAUUUAAUUAAAUUAUGUAUUUUCACUUUUUUUAAAUCACAAAACUUUAAUUAGAGUUGGAUAUAUUAAUUCUGAUAAAUUAUUUUAUGGACCCUUUCUAUUCCAUUACAUAAUCCCGUCCAAUAAAAAAGGGACACAUCAUUUUUAAUUUGAAAAUUUAAUCCAAAUGUACAUAUAAUGUGAAAUAUGUAUAUAUAUGUUCUCUCUUUUAAUUGGACGAGACUAUAAAUAUUAUGGUAAAAAGGUACACAAAAUAAAUUCUCAUUAAUUCCAUACAUUUUUUAUUCAUUAACUUUGAAUGAUGUUUUUAAUGGCUUAUUGGCACAAUAAGUCCUCAAACUUUUCCUAAGAAAUCAAUUAAGCCCCUCCAUUGCACCUAAUUGAGCCCUUGAACUAAUAAUUUUGACCGACAAUAUCAUUUGACCAAUGUUGACUGUUAGAAACUAGCAAACAAAAACCACAAAAAAAAAGCACAUAAUGAAUUUGGAUAAAUUGUUGUCCAAGUUUAUUUGAAUAUAGUGUUCAAAUUCAUUCUAAAAUUAUAAAAAAAUAGAUAAAUCUCAAAAUUAUACAUGAACUUUGAUUCAAUGUGCAAUUUGAUACAUGAACUUUGAUUUGAUGCAAUUAUAUACAUGAAUCUUUGAUUGUGGUUCAAAUGUAGAUAUGAAAUUUUAAUUUUGAUUCAAUCAUACAUAUUUUAAAAAAUAAAUACAUAAAUUUAUUUUUAUAUUAGAUAAAUAUAAUUAUUUGUGUAUGCAAUAUAUAAACAUAAAAUGAUAUUAUGUCAAUAAUUGUGUUAAUAAUUAGUGAGAAUUUGAUCAAAUCAAAAUUUUAUAUAUAAAAUUGCACAAAAUCAAAGUUUAUGUAUAAAAUUACAUAUUAAACCAAAAUUCAUAUAUAAUUUUGAGAUUUAUCUCUAUAAAAAACAUAAAAGUAUACAAAAUCAUUAAGAUAAUAAAAAUCUAAAAUUUAUAAAAAUUUAUUAGAAAUUAAUUAAAAACCAUAAAAUUUAUGAUUUAUGGUUUUUAUAUUUUUUAAUAAAAUUUUAGAAGUUAAUUAUUAUAAAUUAAUCAAAUUUAAUAUUGCAAAAAUAAUAAUUGGAUGUCCUCAUUAUGUAUAAAAUUAGAUUCAUCAAACCUAAAUCUUAAAAAAAAUAUAAUCUGAAAAUAUAAAAAUAAAUACCGAGGACUUUUUUAUUAAUUUUAUUCCUGCACCAUGUGCCAAUAGUCCUCCUACCAUUAUUUUAAAAAUCAUAAAUUAUUUAUUUUUAAAAUAAUGUCAGAUACUUGUACCAAGCUAAAAAUACCUUAUAUUAGUACAACUUUAAUAAAAUAAAUAAAUUAAAUUUUCCAUAGUUCCAUAGAUUUUAUAUUAUUUAGGGAUAAUAUCAUAUAUGAUACCUAUACUUUGAUAAAAUGUUUAAUGUGAUACUUGUAUUUUAAAAAUGUCCAAUGUGGUUCCUAAACUAUUAAUUUAUAUCUAAUGUGAUAUCUGAACUAUCAAUUUGUGUGUGUUUUUAUACGAGACCCGGAGGGCCAUGGCCCCCUAAAAUGGUAAGCUUUCAAUUUAAGCCUUUUAUAAUUUAUAAAAUUUUAAAUUAGUAAUGGUAAAAUUAUAUUUUGACCCCUGAAAAUGAUAAAAUUAUGAUUUAAUUCAAAUUUUAAGUGAUGUUUAAAUAUCAAUUAUUUAGAAAAUUUUGAGAAAAUAUUAAUUAAUUUCAUUAAUCAUAUUUGUUAUAUAACUUUUAAACUUAUUAUAAAUAGUUUAUUUAUAGAAUAUUGUAAGUAAUAAAAAUUGAAAUAUUAUUAUUAUUCCAAAAAAAUAGGAAACAAGAAAUAUUGAUCAAAGUUCCAUAUAUUAAUUUUCAAUAUUCAUCGCAUAUAUUCUUUUACUUUAAUACAUUUAUCAGCUUACUGGAGAAUGUAAGAAAACAAAGAAACAAUGGAAGCCCCAACCAAUGAUCCAAGAACAGGCAAAGUGGCGGCAGCGACGCUGGAAUCCGGGCCAGCUGCUGGGGCGAAAGCGGGAGAGGAGCUAGGGCUAGAACCACCUGCGGAAGGGGAAGCAGCAGGUGCAUCUGCGGCCAUGACGGCGCUCAUUGAGGCGGCAGCAACAAUGAUGGCGGUGGAGACCUUCUUCAUGUCCAUGGCGUAUAAAGGGAUUAUUAAACGCACCGGAAAUGAAUGAGACCUGCGUUUAAUAACUGGCGAAUGGGGAUCCGCCGGUGAUUGUUAUUAUUUGCUUUGUUAUUGCAGGUCUGAAGAAAAAGGGUGGUGGGGAAGGUCAUUUUGUAGGCGGAAAUUCAUGGCUAUUUUUAGUCACGGUUUUCGUACUCGUCAGCAAAAAUUAAACUAUUUUACGUGUUUGGUUUUGCAUGGUUUGUGCAAAACUUUGAAUACCGUUUUAACGAUUUGAUAGGGUCUCUCUGAUAAGAGAUUUUAAAUUUUAAAUUUAAAAGAUAAAACUUAUUUUAUUUUAAAAUUAAUUAUGAAACUAUACCAAUUAAUUGUUUAAACUCAAUAUUAAUUCAAUUAGAAAAUAUUUUAUAUAAUUAUAGAAAAACAUGAUAAAAAUUUAAGAUUUGGGUGAAAAUUUUAUGUAAAAAAUAUUUAUUAAAAUUUAUAUAAUUAUAAAAAAAUAUUAUAUAAGAACUUUUUGAUUAAAAUGGUAAAGAAUGGGCAUAGUUAGAGGGACUGGUCGGGCCAGUCCCCUAAAAUGAAUUUUUUUUAUCUAAAUUUUUUAAAAUUUUAAAUUAGUAAAGGUAAAAUUAUACUUUGACCCUCUUAAAAUUUAUAAAAUUUUAAUUUAAUCCUUUAAAAAUUAUAAAAAUAUAGGUUAUUCAAACGGCGAAUUUAUAUUUUUACUAUAAUAAAAAUUAAAAUUUAAUUUCGCCUCCUUAAAAAAAUUUCUGCCUUCGCUUUUGUGGCAAAGUUAAAAAAUUUAAAUAUAAUAAUUUUUUAGUCAUUUAUCAACAGAAUUAAUGUCGAAUUAUUUUGUGACGUUAAUUCAACUAAAGAUUUUGAAGUAUAGAUUUGAAUUAAAAGAAAGGAUAAUUGAAUAUUCUUACUUCAAUUUUUUUUACCUUAAUUUUUAAAGAUAUAAAAUGAGACUUUUUUAAUAUAAUAUUUAAUUUUAAUCAUAAUUCUUUAAAUUCUUAAAUAAGUUGAAAAUGCAUGUUUAAACAUGCUCAAAUCUAUGUCUUUUUAAUUGUUACAGUGACAAUAAUGUCAACUGAACUAAAAUUUAAUAAAAAAUUUUAAAGGGAUAAAAGGCUAUUAUUUAGGUUUUAACAUAAAUUACUGUUUUUAUUAUUGUUUAUCUAAAAAUGUGUUAAUUACAAAUCCUAAUUAUAUAGAAAAUAAUUAGUUUUAUUAUUCGGUGAUACACGAUUUUGAUUGUAUGUAUCAAUUAAAAUAUAUUAUAAAUAAAUUUUGUAUGAACUUUUAGGUGGAAAACUAAAGUUAUUUUUUAAUGGUUUUAUAGAGUUUUUUUUAUCCUUAAAUAGGGGGACUAUAAUAAAGAUUUUUAUUCUUAAAAUGUAUUAAUUUAUUUAUUAAUAUUUUUAAAUUCUACAUAUUAUCGUUCAAAAUAGUAUAUAUAUAUUUAUUUGGUGUCUCAGAACUUUGAAAUUUCUUAAAUAUUUUAUAUAAUUUAAAUGUUGAUCCCUUUUUACUCUAUUUUUGUAAAGUAUUUAGUUUGGAAUUAUAAAAUUUGGUAAUACUUUUACUCUAAGCCUCAUUCAUUAAUAUUAAUUUAAGUCUUUAUAUUUACUAUUUAAUCAAUCAAAUAACUAUUCUACCUAUACAACAUGAUCUUUCACUAUUUAGGCAGGCUCAAAACUUAAUUUGUACUUAAUAAAUCUCAUUAUUUUUUAAUAGUAAAAUAGACCACAAAAUUAACAUGAGUCAAUUCAAAAAUUUUUUAAAGUUCCGAAAGUAAAAAAGAAAAUACAAUUAUAAAGCAUGUAUAAAUUUAUGUCCUGUCAACUAUAAUACAAAAUUCAACAAAUUACAACUAUAAAACAAAUACAAAUAUAUUUAAACACCUUUAAUUCGUCCCCUCUUUGUCAUCGUUCCUAUCUUCACCUUCUUUAAUGGUAAAGGAUUCACAAGAAGCUUACAAUCUUUCCUAAAAUGGGUUCAUACUCUACAAAAUUCAUUAAAUAUACGAUAAAAUUAUAAUUUAACCCUAAAAUUACUAAAUUUUUAAUUUAAUAAUUUUAAAAGCUGUAUAAAUAUAAUUAAAUAUAUAUUUUUUAAUUCUCAUAAAAAAUAUAUAUUUCAAUCUCGAUUUUUCUAAAAAAAAAAUUCAAUUUAAUAAUCCUUUGUUAUUUUCAUGUUAUUCAUUGUUAUCAGUUCAAUAAAUCGAAAAGUAAAACAUAACCACAAAAUAUUAUUCAAAGCUCCAUUUUAUUCAAUUUUUUUCAAUAUUCGUCACAUGUUUCUUUCAAAAAAAUAAAAUAAAAUAUUCGUUGACAUGUUGAUUUUUCAUACAUGUAGCUUACUGCAGCAUGUAAGAAAACAAAGAAACAAUGGAAGCCCCAACCAAUGAUCCAAGAACAGGCAAGGUUGCGGCAGCCACGCUGGAAUCGGCUCCUGGUGCUACGGCGGAAGCAGGAGAGGAGCUAGGACUAGAACCACCGGCUGAAGGGGAAGGAGCAGGUGCACCGCCAGCCAUGACGGCGCUUAUUGAGGCGGCAGCAACAAUGAUGGCGGUGGAGACCUUCUUCAUGUCCAUGGCGUAUAAAGUGAUUAUUAAACGCUCCGGAAAUGAGCGGGACCUGCGUUUAAUUACCGGUGAAUGGGGAUCCGCCCGUGAUUGUUAUUAUUUGCUUUGUUAUUGCAGGUCUGAAGAACAAUGAUGGUGGCGAGGAUCAUUUAUAGGUGAAAAUUCAUGGCUAUUUUUAGUGACGAAUUUUUUUUUUAAAAAAUUACGUGUUUGGUUUUUGCAUGGCUUGCGGGAUAGACAUGGAAAUUUUUUAAUAUUUUUUUAACGAUUAUGACUGGUUUUUAGAUAUGGAGAUAUUUAAUGAAUUACAGGUUAAAUUUUUUUUUUAAAACUUUACAGGUUAAUUAUUUUUUGGUAACAAGAAAAGGAUUAAAAAAUUAACAAGAAAUAACAGGCUUUGAACAUGCAAACAUGCUAUCCAUCCUUACAAUAUGACUGACCAAAGAGGGGGCAUUAUAAUAUAUUUGUAUACCAACCGACACUUCUUUCAUCAUAUCAGCCAAUGAGUAUGCAACGGAGUUUACUUCUUUUGGGAUUUGCUUGAAGAUAACAUUCAAAUCACGACUUAUUAACUCUCGAAUUCUAAGAACCAAAUCUUUUUGAACACACCCUCUCAAUUCGCCUGUGGUCUCUUUAAAGGCAAGUGCACAACCUGUUUCCACUAAGAUAUCUCGUCAUUGGACAUCCCAUGCCAUAAUAAGCCCAUUAUAGAUCGCCUAAAGCUCUGCUUGCUAAACACCACAUUUACCAAUAUUUCUACCUACUUCACGAAUUCAAUUGCCAAAUUCAUCUCUCGCCACUGCUGCCGAAGCUACCAAACCCGAUACUAGAUCACGAGCCCCGUCAUUAUUUAGUUUAAUGGUACCUAUUGGAGGAGGGAUCCAUCGGCUACACCUAGUUUGUCUUUUGGUACAAUCAUCCGGUCUUCCAGUUGUGCACUUAAAGCUUUAAGCUAAUUCUAUGAAGAGUGAAGGAUAAAAUCUUUACUAAACGGAACAUCCUGGAACACAUGCUAACAUCUUUAUUUCCAUAUCUUCCAAUAGAGUAUACCAAACAGGGACUUCCAAUCAAGCUCAUGAAAAAUUAAGCCAAAUACAUUUCUCGAGUUAACCCUUAGCCAGUCCUUUAGCGAGUAAGAGAAGAAAUGAUACAUUAAUCUCGGAUGAAUGGCCUGCUCCCAAAUAUCUCUUACCCUACAACAAUCCCUUAAGGAAUGAAGAAUAGAUUCAUUUACACAUCCGCAAAGCUUACAACAAGAAGAAUCUGACAUACCUCUUCUGUAAUGUUCCGCAUUAGUUAAUAAGCGUUCCUUGAAAACCAAUCAAAGAAAAUACUCUUACAUGUUGUGGUCCUACAAAAGACCACACGAGUUUCCAACUAUCUUCAGAAGGAUUCAAGGCAUCUUUACUGAGAAAAUUAUAGGCAGACUUAACUAAUAAACUCCCACUAGAAGGCCAUUGUGAUAUCAUUGAAUUGAGACCAACUAGGCAAUUAGGAACUGGAAUACCUGCAAUGUAGGAUAAAAUAAUAUCAUCUAAGAAACAUCUUAGGUACUGCCAGUUCCAAUCCCCAUCCAUCGACACCAUCUCCCUAGGAGAAAUGGAUUCAUCAAUAAACGAGAUUUUGUGGAAAAAAUUAAUCAAAGGUCCAACCCCAACGACCCAAUUAUCAGUCCAAAAUUUGAUACAAUUACCAUCACCCACAGACCAUGCAACACAUUUGCGCAAAAGUGGCCAAAUCUUCGCAAGUGAUCUCCAAAGAAAGGAACAACAAUUCUUUGUAAUGUCAACAGGGAAAUCAUCAAUUAUUUGGUAUUUAGCUCUCAAGAAAAGAACACAUAAAGCCUUUUUAUAUGUAAGGAAGUUAAACUUCAACUUGAGCAGAAGUCAGUAUACCUUACAGUUUUGGCAUGGCCUAUUACACGGCUUGGCACACGGGCGUGUGUGGCCACUUCGAAGGGCACACGGGCUAAACACAUGGGCGUGUGGUUGGCCGUGUGACCCAAGUCAGUAUGUAUACCUUGUUUUCAGACGGCUUGAGACACAGGCGUGCCUGGAGCCGUGUGAGGCACACGGCCUGUUCACACGGGCGUGUGACCCCUGUAUGUUUGAAAAUUUUCUAAGUUUCCAAAAUUUUUGUAUGAUAUCGGUUUAAUCUCGAACCACUUCUAAAGCCUGUUUAAGGCCUCGUAGGCCUUUAUAAGGGACUAUGUGGUUGUAUUACAUGAUGUAUGAGAAUGAAUGCUUAAUGUUGUGAAUGUAUGUUAUAUAUUGUGUAUUGAUCAGUAAUACUUCUUAACUCUAUUCCGGCAACAAAUACGGAUUAGGGGUGUUACAUUAGUCAUAGAAAUGAGAAUAGGCCUAUGAUCUGACUUCAACCGCGGAAGGUGAAAUAGUAAGGCAUCAAAAAAGGUACGACACCACCCACCAUUACUAAUAACCCGAUCCAAUCGAAUAUGUUUUAAUAUUGAAUGAUAAUGAAUUUUUAUUUAAAUUUAAUUAAAUUAUUUGAAUAUGUUUUAAUUUUUUCAUUAUUAUUUUUAAAAUCAUAAAAUUUGAUUUGGACAUAUAUGAUUUUUUUUACGAAACAGGUUGUGAGGUGGAAUUAAGGUGUAUUAAUUUCAUAGAUUUUAUAUUUAUUUAUUUUGAAUGGAUUUUUUUAGAUAAAAAGCUUAAUGGUAAAGUAAAGUGAGGCGAUUCUAAUCAUUUUUAUGUAAAUAUUACAUAAUAAGAUGUACUAAAAAAAUAUUAAGUACUAUGAUAAAUGUAGAUUUAUUCAUGGAAAGGACUAUUCAGCCCGGUCCAAAGGCCAACUAAAAAAUAAAAAGGUUUGGGUAAAAAUAUAGAUUCAAAAAAUGGACUUAGUAAUAUAUAUAUACACACGUAAUUCUGCAUUGGCAAUAAUGUCUAUACCAAUAGAGCUAAGAGUCAAUCGGCUAAUACCAUAAAUUUUAUAUUUAUUAAUUUUGAGUAGAUAUUUUUUUAAACUAAAACCAUAAUGCUAAAGUAAAGCGAGAUGAUUCUGAUCAUUUAUAUGUAAAUAUUAUAUUUAUAUGCAAAUAUUAUAUAAUAAGAUGUACUAAAAAAUAUACUAUGAUAAAUGGUCGGAUGGUAAGUUUUUGUUGAGAUGAAUAUAAGACUAUAAAGGUAAAAUUAUUAGUUAAGCUCCUGUACAUAGGGGAAGAUUGCAUUUCGGCCCCUUUAUUGAAAAAAAAUGAGCUAAUUAGUCUUUAUAUAUUUUGAAAUAUACAAAUUAACUCAUCUGUUAAAGUUUAUCUCUUAAAUAAUGACGUGAAAACUGAUUCGUAUUGCCCAAUCAUGUCACGAUCAAUCGCUUUGAUGCAUAAUGGGAUUCAAUUUCAUCACACCGAGGCCUUACUUUUUCACCAGAGGAUUACAAACUCCAUUGACUUUCAUUUUUUCCUUUUGUAUCUAGACUUGAUCAUGGGUUGAGCCAUUCUGUCCAACUCAAAGGCAAGUCCAAAAAGUAAGAAUAUUUAGUGGUAGGGAAAGAGGCUAGCAAGGGCCUUACACCCUAUCCUAAUAUGGAUUUCAAACUCUUCAAAAUUUAUAAAAGCACAAGUUAGACAUAUAUGAUAAAGUUAUAAUUUAACCUCAAAAUUGUUAAAAUUUCAAUUUAAUCAUUUUAAAUACUAUAAAAUAUAACUAAAUACAUAUUUUAACUCUCAUAAAAUAUAUAUAUAUUAAUCUCGAUUUCUUUAAAAUAAAUUUCCAACUUCUCCCUGCAUUUAUCUAAUUACAUACUAGUUAUUAGUUUGUUAUUUUCAUGUUAUUCAUUGUUAUUAGUUGAAUAAAUCGAAAACUAAACGCAUAAGCACAAAAUAUUAUUCAAAGCUCCAUUUUAUUCAAUUUUUUCAAAAUUCAUCACAUGUUUCUUUCGAAAAGAAUAAAAUAAAACAUUCGUUGACAUGUUCAUUUUUCAUACAUGUAACUUAUUGCAGCAUGUAAGAAAACAAAGAAACAAUGGAGGCCAAUGAUCCAAGAACAGGCAAGGUAGCGGCAGCCACGCUGGAAUCCGGUCCUGAUGCUGGGGCGGAACCAGGAGAGGAGCUAGGACUAGAACCACCGGCUGAAGGGGCAGGAGAUGGUGCACCGGCAGCCAUGACGACGCUCAUUGAGGCGGCAGCAACAAUGAUGGCGGUGGAGACCUUCUUCAUGUCCAUGGCGUAUAAAGGGGUUAUUAAACGCACUGGAAAUGAAUGAGACCUGCGUUUAAUAACUGGUGAAUGGGGAUCCGCCGGUGAUUGUUAUUAUUUGCUUUGUUAUUGCAGGUCUGAAGAACAAUGAUGGUGGGGUGGAUCUUUUAUAGGUGAAAAUUCAUGGCUAUUUUUAGUGACAAAAGUUCAAAAAAAAUUUACGUGUUUGGUUCUCGCAUGGUUUGCGGGAUAGACAUGCAAAAUUUUGAAUUUUUUUUAACGAUUUUGACUGGAUUUUUUGAUAAAGGGAUUUUAAUUUUUUUUAAGAGAGGGAGAGUAGUAAAUUAACAGUAAUUACAUCAACAUCAUCUUGUAAAUUAUUUAGAAUGGAAGUAUCAAUUUGUUGGACAGAAAAAACAAAUUAACAAAGGUCCAAUUGAUAGUCAAACAUCAAAUCAGCUAAGGCAUUAGCUGCUCCAUUACAUUUCUUUAAAUAUGCUCAAUGUGAACCACUCAUGCUCGAGUGCAAAACAUUUUUAUUUUGCAUACUAAUGUCCUGUUCACUACGCUUUUAUAGUCACCAUUAAUUGCUUAAACUGCAGUUAAAUAAUCACAUUCCAAAACAACCAAUUUCCACCCUUCAAACCAAAGUAAUUUAAGUCCACCAUAGAUUGGCCAAGGUUCUGCUUGUUGAACACUACAUUUCCCAAUAUUGUGACUGUAGCUAAAUCUGCCAUGGUUAUCUUUAGCAGUCUCAGUUGAGUAGGCAAGUCCGAUAUAACGUUUCUUUGCAUCAUUUGUGUUUAUUUUCACAUAACCAGCUAUUGGUUGUUGCCAGGUGCUUAGUCUAAUUUGAUUUUUAACCUUGAUUGUUGAUUCUCUAUUAUGUUUAACAUUCACAACUUAACUCCGAGUCAAUCCUACAAGCAUUCCAGAAUUAUGAGGAACAUUUCUAAAAACUUGGAGUAAAAUGAAUGUGAAAUAAAUUGCUUCCAUACUUCCUGAGCUUUGGAAAAUCAUGAAGUAUAUGAAGAAUAUUUUCUUUUGCAAAUCCACAAAUGCAGCAAUUAGCAUCAUUCGUCAGUCCGCAUCUGUAUCUUUCCAUACUAUUAUUCACACCCUCUUUGUCAUUGUUCCUAUCUCCAUCCUCUUACAUGGCAGGAGGCAAAAGGAGGGGCUGAUAAGGGCUUUACACCCUUUCUUAAAAUGGGUUCAACUCUCCAAAAUUCAUAAAAACAUAAGUUAAAUAUAGGGUAAACUAUAAAAAUAAUUAUUUUUGUUUGUCUUAGAUUACAUUUUGAUCAUUGAUAUUUAAAAUGUUACGUUUUGGCCACUUACAUUAUCAUUUUGUUAUGAAGUAGACUAGGAUGAGAAUAGCUUUUUCAGUCAAAAUGAAAAAGAAAGCUAAAAGAAAGAAGACAAACAAUCUUUAUUGUCCAAUUUAAGGUGCAAUUAAUUUAAAAUUCUCAAUAAAAAUGAACAACCUAUUCUCGUUCUUAUCGAAAAUUUAAGUUAAUACGUAAGUGAUUAAAACUUAACAUUUCAAAUAUAAAUAAAUAAAAUAUAAUAUGAAGCAAACAAAAAUAAAAAUACAUAUUUUAAUAUGGAUUUCUCUUAAAAAAAAUUCCCAACUUACCCUGCAUUUAUCUAAUUACAUAUUAUUUAUUAGUUAAAUAAUUCAUUGAUAUUUUCAUGUUAUUAGUUGAAUAAAUCGAAAAGUAAACGCAUAAAAACAAAAUACUUUUCAGCUCCAUUUCAAUUUUUUCAAUAUUCAUCACAUGUUUCUUACAAAAAAAUAAAAAAUAAAAUAAAAUAUUCGUUCACAUGUUCAUUUUUCAUACAUGUAGCACGUAAGAAAACAAAGAAACAAUGGAAGCCCCAACCAAUGAUCCAAGAACAGGCAAGGUUGCGGCAGCCACGCUGGAAUCUGGUCCUGGUGCUGUGACGGAAGCAGGAGAGGAGCUAGGACUAGAACCACCGGCUGAAGGGGAAGGAGCAGGUGCACCGGCAGCCAUGACGGCGCUCAUUGAGGCGGCAGCAACAAUGAUGGCGGUGGAGACCUUCUUCAUGUCCAUGGCGUAUAAAGGGAUUAUUAGACGCACAUGAAUGAGACCUGUGUUUAAUAACUGGAGAAUGGGGAUCCGCCGGUGAUUGUAAUUAUUUGCUUUGUUAUUGCAGGUCUGAAGAACA
rnacentral:lncRNA from 1 species